CAUAUCUGGCAUACCUUCUGAAGGUCUGUCACCCUUCUUACUCUUUAUGCUUUCCAUGUAUGUAGGACAGUUCCUCUUCCAAUGGCCGUCUUAUGAUGCAAUGGAAACACUUUUCCUUGCAAUCGGCCUUUUUCUUGGAACUUCCUUACUUGGCCUUUUCUCGGUCUUCUGCCUUUUCACAGGUUUCUUCUUCUUCCAGG
rnacentral:lncRNA from 1 species